rnacentral:lncRNA from 1 species
GUUUCUGCCUGCAGCUAGACCAGGAAGAAAGGAGACUGAGCAGAGGAAAUGAAAGAGUAAAGGAGAGGAGAGAGUGGGUAGGACACAAAGCUGAGGUGACUGAAGCAGCAGGAAGUAGGCAGGGCAUGAAGAAUUGGGAUUCAAAGCCCUUGAAUUUAGUUCCCAACUUCACUUAUGGGGCAAUGCUCCAAGUCACUCAGUCACCCUGAACUUCAGCUGGAGAAGGGGAACAGGAAUAAUGCCUAUCUUCCAGGAGUGUUCUGCACAAAACUGAAGGCACAGAUGAAAAAGCACUCUGCAAAUUAAAAGAGAAGGAUGGAUAGAGAAAAGCAUCAUUACAAAAGUGAAAUGUGUGAAUUUUAUUCUGGCUUUGAACAUUGAGUAGACGAAGAAGACAAUUCCAGACGGAGGAAACUCCACAAGAAAUAUCAUGGAAAUUUGAAAGAACACAGUGGGCUUGGGAAGAGAGAUCUCAGUGGUGGAAGCACCAUCAUCCCAAGGAGACUUAGGAAAAAGACAAGGCCCUGCUCUGAGGAGUGAAGACACAAUCCAGCAGGCAGGAGGGAUGGCUAAGUUCAAAGUCUUGAGAAGUGCCCCUCAUGGACACCCCAGGGUGCCCAUCUCCAGGUUACCACCAGGUGCUUCCAAGACCAAGAUAACCAGGCAAUCAUAGUAGAUGCAUCAAUGCACCCUUGCCCAAGGGCCUAGACAAGAGGAGGAAGGAAAGGAGGAGCACGUGCACAAAGCUAAGGAGGUGAUUAACAACAUGAUACAGUAUUGUUUAGCUUCGCAUGAAUUUUAUCACCUUGCCUAGAACCAGCCACCAUCUGCCAGGGCUCCUGACUUUUUCUGAAAUGAAUAGACACUAAAGCCUGCUGGGGAAUUUCAUGGAAAUCAAGAUGACUCAACCCAGAGUCCAUUUCAAGGCUAGGAUGCUAGAGGACGCCAACAAAGGAGUAGGGAAGUGAAACGGAUCAGCUCACAUCCAAGCCCUUGCAUGAUCAAUCCUGCAGUAGGAGUGCUGCUCAGUUGGGACUCAUGAGAGCCCGGAAGAGGAAAAAGCAGCUCUAAGCAUAGCAAAGAAGCUGUUAUGGAAAAGACCCAAAUGUUAAAAUGGUGGACAUAGUAAAGUGAUUGGUUCUGCUUAGGGGAAUCUAGAUCCCCACAUUUUGACCUCCACUGGAGUCUCAGAAGAACAAGUGCCAGGGGGGCUUGCCACAGAGGCCAAGGCAGUGAAUGUCAGGCACAUCACAGUCCCCAAGAUGGGGAGAAGACUGAGAUGCAGGGUAACAACUGCAAUCCAUUCAUGGGAGCCAUGUUUAUCUUAAAUCAUUGACAGUGAGAUAAGGAUCAUGUCAGCCUUCAUACCUUUGAUGAUGAUCCCAGGCUGCAACAGUGACACAUAGAACUGGAUUCAGUAACUAACUACAGAUUCCAUCAACCAGGACUAGUAAAGUGAAAGGCAGAAAUUGGGAGGAGGGGUUUCUUUCUUGCUUAUAAAACUUUAUUUGGUUGUGUUGAGUAUGUGCAUGUAUGUAUGAAAUCCCAUAAAGCAGUCUUCUUAGGAACAAGCCAACAUGCCACAAUGUAGGAGAUCUUUGGAGCACUGGCCUAAAUGGCAGAGAGCUCAAGGGACUCUGCUUUGUACAAGGCAUGAUUUGUACCACCACCACUAUCCCUGUUUCAGAGCACUGUUGAAUUGUUCCAAACCUGGAUUUCUAUGUCAGCUCCCUGUCUAUAGUACUUGACUGAUAAAUGCUAGUUUCUGAAAUCUGCUUUGGUUCUAUAAUUUAUUAGACAGCUUUUUCUUCCCAUUUUAUUACUUGUUUUUACUGUCAUUGGUAUAUUAUCUCUUACAGUGAAAACAUUCAUAGGCUGAUUGAAGAGAAGAUCUGAAAUUAUUAGGCAGCAAGCAUACAAAACCCUUGCUUUAUAAAGAUAAUAUCUUAAAGGCCUAAUGUCUAUGGUUCAAAGCAGCCUGGAGAUGUUGGCUAAAUCUUCCAUCAUAGAGUCCUCAUGGGAUCUGGAAGCUCUGAUUUAUCUUCCUUCAGGCCCUAUAAGUUAGCUUUCCACAUCUGUAGGUUCCACAAUCAACCUUGGAUCAAAAACAUUUGAAA